rnacentral:lncRNA from 1 species
CCGAGAUCUAGUUUUAUGGGGUUCAAAAUACUAUAUAUAACAUGUAUAGUGACUGACGAGUUAUAAACAAUGAAAGUAUCUGAAAUUUAAAAAUAUGAAUUUAAACAUCAGAAUGGCAUUGCGCCUUUUUUAAACAACGACUAAAACUUAACUAAACAAAAAGUACCUGCUAAAUUUAUCCGGCGGAAAGCACGUUUUAUCCACAGAAUAAAUGUUGAGAAAGGGAAAUAAUCAAUUGGUUUAAUCAAUGGAUAAGCAGUUUAACCACUGGCUAACCGACUAUCCAACGUUUUAAGCAAGUGAGCAACCCAAUCCAGAAGCACUAGAGUUAAACACAGUUAUUAUUGUAGGAUUCACAAAUAACUCGAUAUUUCUUCAUUCUUUUCACUCUUAUCGUGUAUACCUGCCUUGAGAAUGGGCGGCAUACAAUAAUGCAGUUACCUGUCCAUCAAAAGAUUUGAUUCCUGCUGAGUAAUCUUGAACACAAUGGUAUAAAUAAUUAAACCUCGAUAAAACUCGAUUGUACAACCAUACCAUCAUUGUGUCAUUUACACUGUGUAUCAUCGCCACCGGAAAUUGGGUACUAACGAAGCGGAGAGAAAUAGAAAAAAAAGUAAACAAGUUAAGAUUUCGUUCAAUUUAAAGCAUUUCCACUCAUUUGAUGAGGGUGCCGCUUAAGAAAUGAUUUUCUGGUGAAUAAUUCUUUAAAUAAUUAGGCCGAUAAGUACAAAAUUAAAUCAAGAUUUUGUGUAAUACCCCAAAACUUGCCACUUAGUACCGGAAAAUUUCGAGGUCGAUCGUCCUCUGUCGC